rnacentral:rRNA from 1 species
GACGAACGCUGGCGGCGUGCUUAACACAUGCAAGUCGAACGGAAAGGCCCCUUUGGGGGUACUCGAGUGGCGAACGGGUGCGUAACACGUGCGUAACCUGCCCUUGACUUCGGGAUAACUUCAGGAAACUGGGGCUAAUACCGGAUAGGAAUCCUUGCUGCAUGGUGGGGGUUGGAAAGCUUCGGCGGUUUUGGAUGGACUCGCGGCUUAUCAGCUUGUUGGUGGGGUAGUGGCUUACCAAGGCUUUGACGGGUAGCCGGCCUGAGAGGGCGACCGGCCACAUUGGGACUGAGAUACGGCCCAGACUCCUACGGGAGGCAGCAGUGGGGAAUAUUGCACAAUGGGCGGAAGCCUGAUGCAGCAACGCCGCGUGCGGGAUGACGGCCUUCGGGUUGUAAACCGCUUUCAGCAGGGGCGAAGCUUGUGGUGACGGUACCUGCAGAAGAAGCACCGGCUAACUACGUG